AGCCCUGAGGUGAUGUGUCAUGUUGAAUUGCAAAUUCAAAGGAGCAGCUUUAACCCUGCCGGGGCUU
rnacentral:tRNA from 1 species